GAUGAAUGCUGGCGGCGUGUCUAAGGCAUGCAAGUCGAACGAAUCAUUUUUUGUAGCAAUACUUGAAAUGGUUAGUGGCAAACGGGUGCGUAACACAUUGGUACCUGCCUCGUAGUCGGGAAUAAUCCUUCGAAAGAGGGUCUAAUUCCACGAUGGUCUCGCAAGAGUAAAGUCGCAAGACGCUACGAGAGGGGCCUAUGCCCUAUCAGCUAGUUAGUGAGGUAAUGGCUCACCAAGGCUAUGACGGUAGGGGGUGUGAGAGCACGACCCCCCUCACUGGGACUGAGACACUGCCCAGACACCUACGGGUGGCUGCAGUCGAGAAUAUUCCCCAAUGGCCGAAAGGCUGAGGGAGCGACGCCGCGUGCGGGAAGAAGGCCUUCGGGUCGUAAACCGCUUUUACCAAGGACGAAACAUGACGGUACUUGGAGAAUAAGAGGUUGCUAACUCUGUGCCAGCAGCCGCGGUAAUU
rnacentral:rRNA from 1 species